CCUGGGAGGCUGAAGAGACUUGAAAAAC
rnacentral:piRNA from 1 species